rnacentral:tRNA from 1 species
UGUAGUUUAGUUUAAAUAGAACAGUUAAUUUGCACUUAACCAGUGCCUUAAAGCAUCUGC